rnacentral:lncRNA from 1 species
CACUUACUGUGCUUGGAUGCUGGAUUGAAUCCUAAAAUAACAAUAUGCAUCGAUGUAAAGGCUGACGCAUCAGUGAGGGCAGUGUACCAGUGGGUGUGAGACUGCUGCAAACAAAAAUCUGCUUUGUUUCACCCUAGCUUAAGCAAAGGGCCAAGGGUUCAGGCAACUGGGAAGAAUGAAUUGGUUCUAACAGGGCUGUCAGCCCGGAUAAGCAAUCAGAUAUUUAAAGCGGUAAUGUUAUGAGUACAUGUAUCAAAACUGACUAGUAAAUGGAGUCACUUGUGGCAUCUAGGUGCAGUGAUAACGGUCUGGCAAAUGCACUAGACAGAUAAGAUGCAUCAGAUAGGUGUCCUUACUUUACACUCUAUUUGCCUACGAUAAAACCUUCCAUCUUCAAAUGACUGUCAGGGAGUCUUAGGCUGAAUUUUCUGCUCCUUUCAAGCAGGUUCUUUAGGAUGAAAGACAGCUGAUUUUAGCAAAUGUUUCUGUUGAACAUUUCUGAGCUGUGAGUUGUCUUUAUUAUAGUUUGAUUCUUGUUGAACAGAAAGCAGAAUUCAGCGGAAACCUGUUCCUUGCUAAAAUGCCGUGGUGUCAUGUUUGCUGAGGAGGUGAUACCCAGGUCCUUUCUGAACGGUUCCUGACUGGAGCAGCAAGAAAUGAGGCAGCUGGAUUUCACAGAGUUUUGGUAACCUUGGAGAAACAAGUUACAGCAACCAUCAGCCCAGGCGACAAAUUUGCAAGCAGGCCAGGGUGUAAGCGGGAGGAUCUGAUCUGAGGGAGGACAAAAGACUCAGCUCACGCUGCAGAGCGCUGUGGCUGAUCCUUUUGUAUGCAAGACCAGCAGACUUGCCUGAAACAGGAACCUUGGAGGUAAAUCAGGCUAAUGAAGCAGCUCAGAGAGGCAAUGUGCAUUAUUUGUAUCCCACAAUGAUUUUAAAGUCAACACACAUACAGUACCGAGUAUUUUGAAGCCUAAGAUACCUGUAGGAGAUCCAAGAGAAGGCGGUUCAUCUAGUCUCCUCAGUGCUUUCAUUUAGCUGAUAGCAAUUAGCUCUCUUUUCAUAGUGAGGAAUACAGGAACCAUUUCACUCUCUGGAUAAAUUUUAUCUAGGCAAGAAAUUAUGUUAUGACAGUUGCUAUCCGUGAUGCUAAAAUGCUUUUAUUAGGACAAUUACAGCUCUUUUUUACUCCAGGCUGAAAGAGAAAGUGAAAAGCUAGCUUUGCUAGAGAGAAGGCAGUUUGUUAGGAAUGGCCUUUUGCUGCAAAAAGAUCAGGGUCUUCUGGAUUAAUCUUUGGAUUAUAUAGAUUUUCC